rnacentral:rRNA from 1 species
UUAGUGGCGGACGGGGUGAGUAACGCGUGGAUAACCUGCCGUAUACAGGGGGAUAACACUUAGAAAUAGGUGCUAAUACCGCAUAAGCGCACGGUUCCGCAUGGAACAGUGUGAAAAACUCCGGUGGUAUACGAUGGAUCCGCGUCUGAUUAGCCAGUUGGCGGGGUAACGGCCCACCAAAGCGACGAUCAGUAGCCGGCCUGAGAGGGUGAACGGCCACAUUGGGACUGAGACACGGCCCAAACUCCUACGGAAGGCAGCAG